rnacentral:rRNA from 1 species
GCACUUUAAGCAGUGAAGAAGACUCCGUGGUUAAUACCCACGGACGAUGACAUUAGCUGCAGAAUAAGCACCGGCUAACUCUGUGCCAGCAGCCGCGGUAAUACAGAGGGUGCAAGCGUUAAUCGGAAUUACUGGGCGUAAAGGGAGCGUAGGUGGCUCUAUAAGUCAGAUGCGAAAUCCCCGGGCUCAACCUGGGAACUGCAUCUGAAACUGUAGAGCUAGAGUAUGUGAGAGGAAGGUAGAAUUCCAGGUGUAGCGGUGAAAUGCGUAGAGAUCUGAAGGAAUACCGAUGGCGAAGGCAGCCUCCUGGCAUAAUACUGACACUGAGGCUCGAAAGCGUGGGUAGCAAACAGGAUUAGAUACCCUGGUAGUCCACGCCGUAAACGAUGUCUACUAGUCGUUGG